GAUGAACGCUGGCGGCGUGCUUAACACAUGCAAGUCGAGCGAACGGACGCGAAGCUUGCUUCUCUGACGUUAGCGGCGGACGGGUGAGUAACACGUGGAUAACCUACUUAUAUGUCUGGGAUCACUUCGGGACACCGGAGCUAACCCCGGAUAAUAUCCUGAACCGUAUGGUUCAAUAGUGAAAGACGGCCUUGCUGUCUCUUAUCGCUGGAUCAGAGCUGCAUUAGCUAGUUGGUACGGUAACGGCUUUUCACGGCGACGAUGCCUAGCCGACGUGCGAGGGGGGUCGGCCACACGAGAACGGAGACACGGACCAGAGUCCUGCGGUAGGCAGCAGUAUGGAAUCUGCCGCAGUGGGCGGGAGCCUUACGGAGCAACGCGGCGUGAGUGGUGGAGGUCUUCGGAUCGUGAAACUCUGUUAUGGGGGAAGAACAGAUGUGUAAGUAACUGUGCACAGCGUGACGGUACCGAGUCAGGAAGCCACGGCUAACUACGUG
rnacentral:rRNA from 1 species